rnacentral:rRNA from 2 species
UCCAGACUCCUACGGGAGGCAGCAGUGGGGAAUAUUGCACAAUGGGCGCAAGCCUGAUGCAGCCAUGCCGCGUGUAUGAAGAAGGCCUUCGGGUUGUAAAGUACUUUCAGCGGGGAGGAAGGUGUUGUGGUUAAUAACCGCAGCAAUUGACGUUACCCGCAGAAGAAGCACCGGCUAACUCCGUGCCAGCAGCCGCGGUAAUACGGAGGGUGCAAGCGUUAAUCGGAAUUACUGGGCGUAAAGCGCACGCAGGCGGUCUGUCAAGUCGGAUGUGAAAUCCCCGGGCUCAACCUGGGAACUGCAUUCGAAACUGGCAGGCUUGAGUCUUGUAGAGGGGGGUAGAAUUCCAGGUGUAGCGGUGAAAUGCGU